rnacentral:rRNA from 1 species
GAUGAACGCUGGCGGCGUGCUUAACACAUGCAAGUCGAGCGGAGAUAAAUUGAAAGCUUGCUUUUAAUUUAUCUUAGCGGCGGACGGGUGAGUAACGUGUGGGCAACCUGCCUCAUACAGAGGGAUAAUCGUGUGAAAACGUGACUAAUACCGCAUGUCGUUUCGGGAGGGCAUCCUCCUGAAAGAAAAGGAGCAAUCCGGUAUGAGAUGGGCCCGCAUCUGAUUAGCUAGUUGGUGAGAUAACAGCCCACCAAGGCGACGAUCGGUAGCCGACCUGAGAGGGUGAUCGGCCACAUUGGGACUGAGACACGGCCCAAACUCCUACGGGAGGCAGCAGUGGGGAAUAUUGCACAAUGGGGGAAACCCUGAUGCAGCAACGCCGCGUGAAGGAAGACGGUUUUCGGAUUGUAAACUUCUAUCAAUAGGGACGAAGAAAGUGACUGUACCUAAAUAAGAAGCCCCGGCUAACUACGUGCCAGCAGCCGCGGUAAUAC